UAUCGACCCCGAAAGGAUGAAAGGCAAAGUCGACUUUGGUGGAAUUUGAACUCAGAACGUAACGGCAGAUGAAAUACCACUAAGCAUUUUGCCUGACGUGCUAACAUUUCUGCCAGCUUGCCACCUGUCAUCAGGCUCUUUCUACUGCAUCAGCUUUCACUACUUUUCCAAUUCUGCCUUAAUAAUUACAUUACCUCAGAACAGUAGAAAAUUGCCAAUGUUAUUCCUUUCCUGUCAAUUACUGUCCAAUCAGUCUCACAAAUUGUAUAACCAGCUUGAUGGAGUCUUCUGUCAGAGAGACACCCUGGAACUUCUGGAACUCUCAUAACUUUUGUUGGCCCUCAUGAUUUGAACUUAUCUCUACCUCCAGCUGCUGUGAUCAACUCAUUGAAUUUCUUAUUUGGAUCAUAGAUGUGAUUCAUGGGUGGAAGUUAUCUACCUCAAUUUCGUGAAAGGCUUUUAUUCUAUGCCACUCAAAUGACUUAUGGUGAAAGUCUCUGCAAUAGACAUCUAGUAUAACUGGUUGGAGUCCUCCAUUCUCAAUCAAAAAGAGGUAAAUAUGAUACCAAGACAGUAUUCUGCACCUUAUACAAUAAUGACUAUUGUCUUGCAAAGAUUUGUUUUUGGUCUGCUGUUAUUUGUUGCAUGCAUUAAGGAAAUAGAUGUCAACUAGAAACAUGCUGGUAACAUUAAGCUGUACUUUGAAAUAAAAAGAAUGGAUCCAUAGAUCUUUCAUGCAAUCUGACCUGGACAGAAUGCAACAAUGGAUUACUAAAUAGCAACUCAAGUUAGCUGUAGACACUAUACAUUUUGGGAGCAAAAAUCUGAAAUUUAUCUACUCCUUGCACCACACCAACUUUAAAAAGUCUGCUGGUGAAUGUGACCUAGACAUCAUUGUCAGCAAUGCUCUGUGCUGGGCAAACCACAUUUCUGAAAUUAUCAAAAAGACUAAUAGUAUCUUAGCAUUGCACAGUAAAACCUUUGUUGGCUGCCUCCCAACUAUCUAUUUAAAGCUAUGGUACGUCCACACUUAAAAGUUUGCAUUGCCAGUCUAGAACCCUGAUCUUUUUCAGAAUAUUGAUCUGCUGGAAGCUGUCUAAAGGCAUACAACCAGAUGAAUACCUUCAGUUAAUCACUUACCGUAUCUUAAAUGUAUCUCACCAUAUCUGCUCUGGAAAAUGACACAAAGUUUUGACAUGAAGCUGCUGACUUGGUACAAGAUUAUCCACCUUCUUUUGGCUGCCAUUUGGAAUUCAAUAGCUUUACCACAUGUGAAAUCAAAAAUCAGUGCAGCGAUCAUGAUUUUUGGAAACCUCAUUCAAUGCUCAGUUGUUGAAGAAUGGAACAAGCUACUCACAUCAAUUGACUAUCAGGAGACUACCUCCUUUAAAAACUCCUUGCUUCCUGAAAUUCACCAACGCCACUUUUGAUAUACCUGUGCACCUUUAUUCUUUAUGGCUCUUCUAAUAUUGACUUUUACGUCUAUUUUGUGCUUUAUUCUGUUUAAUGAAGCAACAGAUUCUAGUGAAACCAGUUGAUACCAAGAUAUCUGUUCUUGCUUUGUGGUUUAUGCAAAGAUUUGGAUGUGGUCCUUGCUUGUGUGUGGAAGUUCUCAGAAACUUGGAGCAACAAACUGGAAGAAAUCUGGAAAUCAUACCAGAUCAUCAUCAUUGGACAGGCCAAGGAAGAAAUAACUCCAUUAUCUCUCUUUGAGAUGACAGUCACACCACAUAGCAUUGGCUAGUUGGACAAUAAAAGGCAAAAUACCUAUUUGAUAAUAAUGAAGAACUUGAAGUUUAUGAUGAAGAAAUCGAGAUUUGUAUUGUCCUUAUUGUAGAUCCAUGGAGACCAUUCAAUCAUUUCUAUUUUCAAUAACUAAAAGCAAGAACUAUUUUACUUAUUUCAUGUAUUGGAGGAGCUUGUAGGGGAAGAAGAGGGUGCUAAAUUCUCCCAAACUGGAAGGGGGUGAACAAUAAUGAACUGGCAAUGUUUGCUAUCAAACUUGUCAUUGUAACAGACCAAUCAAUCGAUACAUCUCACAAAUUUUUUUAGUGGAAAAUGAGAAAGAUGGAGAAGAGUACCUUUGUUUAAGGUGAGAAAGUAAUGAAACCUUUAUUGAGAAAGAUCCAAACAUGACCAACACUGAUGAUGUCAGUCAGCAAGAUGACAUCUUAGAGUUUGAUGUGAAUAAAGUUUGGAAGGCUGUUCACUAAAUGGACGAAAUUCCAAUAAAUGAAGCUAAAGCUCUUUUGUCCAGAUUCAUUAGUGACAGAACAAGAGAUAAGUCUGUUGGACAAUUCCUGGUCCAAAAACUGAAAGAACUAGUUCAGAAAGCCAUGGACUAAUAGGAGACAAUUCUUUAUAUUUAACAGUAUUAAAUGACUUUCCUUGGUUUCAGCUGCAUAAAUAGCAAAUCUGUUCAAUUAGUUUUUACCUAGAGAAGACACAAGUCAACACAAUUCUUUGCAAAUUCUAAAUCUAAGAAUUAUACACACAUUACUAUUGAUUGCAAAGUUUUAAGUGAAUAACUUUUUUUUAUUAUAAUUUUAAAAGUUCCCCAAUUUCUUUACUUCUCUCUUUUCUUUUGUACGACAGUCAAUGGAGAAAAGCUUUUGUGUAACCAUCUCACACAACUGUCACGAGCUUAGAAUCUGAAGUUGACCAAUCAAUUUGUACAUUAACGGAUAGUAUUAUUUUUUAAAAUCAAAAUUUUUGUAACAAUAGCCAGAACAGACAUAAUUUGUGACAGUUCCAAUAUACUAUACACUUUUGAAAAUCUAAAUCAAUUGUAUUCCUCUGUUUCAAAGUAUAAUUAAAUUCUAAUUAAUUCUUAUUCUUUGUACAUUUUCAACUUCAUUUCUUCUAUUCUUCCACUUAUUUGGAUUAAUACAUCUGUUACAUACAUGUAUAUAUUUGUGCAUUAGUGGUUAUGUUACAUGAAUGGUUAUAUGCCUGUGUGUGUUUGUGUGUGUGUUACACGGAAUGAAGCGAUUUCAAAACUUUGUCAACUAUAAUUAACAUACAAAUAAUAUACUAAAUUUAACCUGUGAUGUGAGAACAGCAAAUUUGUUACUUAAUACAAUUAAACUAUUGCAACAACAACGUUUAAAAAAAAGACUUCAAUUU
rnacentral:lncRNA from 1 species